UCACCUGAUAUAUUUUAUGACAGUUGAGAAAAGCAUAUAAAUAUUUGAACCUCCAGAGGACAGAUAUAACAUUCAACUUUGAGCUUCAAGUAUCUCAUUCUACAACCGUAAAGAUGAAAUUUGCAUCAGCCUUCAUCGUGGCACUUGCUACCUUUAUGGCAUUCGUUGAUUUCACGGUUGCCGAACCCAAACCUCAACCUCCAGACCCAGACCGGUCAAAUUGGCGCCAUUAGCUAACUCUCUGACAUUUCUCGAUUUCACGAUUGCCAAACCUGUCCACUCUUGAACCUGAUGUCAUGCAAGAUGUGCCUGUUUCGCAAUAAAGAGAAAUAAAACUUCAUGAAAAUAUAAAA